rnacentral:lncRNA from 1 species
AUCCGCUGAAAGCUGCAGGUUUUCUAGACAUCGUCAUGCUGUCCAAAACAUUAGUCGUUCUGGGCUGACCAGCUGGAGAACCUGAGGACUUGCCUGCACCGGAUACCUGCAACUGAUUGGCUUUUUCCAGGGCGAGUUCACUGAGUCUCUGUGCCAGGGCCAUGCGUCUGGAUCGAGAUGCGUAACGGAUGGCGAGCGUCACAACACUGUUUCUCUGGUGUUGCAGACAGGAGUCCAUGUGUUUCCCAAAGUCCGGUUCAGCAGACGCACAACACCCUCAGAGUCAACACAACAUGGCGUUCCUGCAAAAAACAGAAAUCAUUAAAGUAUGCUGAUUUAGUGCUUAAAAAAAAAAAAAAAAAAAAAAA